UUCCACCUACAGCAAACAAACAAACAAAUACAAAAUGAUUUCUUUCUUUCUCUUAGAAAAAAAACAGGCAAACAAACAACUCUCCAAACCAGGAUAAACAAACAAACAAACAACAAAAAAGAAAAAGCACAAGAAACACACAUAUACACAGAUAUACAUAUACACAAAAACAAAACUCGUAAAGACACAGAAUUGGAAACCAUACUAUACAGACCAAAGACCAGUAAGACAAAAAUUGCCCAAAACAAAGCAAUAGGAGCCAAAAAAUCUAUAGAAUACCCUAGAGUUCGUUUUGUGUUUACCAUCUACUUCUGUGUGUGGAACCCACCCUUAAGUGUGGUUUGUACACCCAGUGAGACUCCCUUGGAGAGAUUAAUUUUUCCUUUGCAAGUGGUUGUCAGUUGGAGUCAGCUUCUUGGUUAGGAAUGGGAGAUGGUGUCCACUUCUCCCUCUGAGCACUGGGACCCCAUCUGGCUUAGAUCUGUGUAGACCUUGUAUACGCUAUCACGGUCUCUGUGAGUUCAUAUGUCUGUCGGACCUGUUUUGCCUGGAAGGCAUUGUUUCCUUGGUGUCUUCCACCUCCUCUAGCUCUUACAAUCUUUCUGUCUCCUUGUCCACAAAGUUUCCUGAGCUCUGAAGGGAGAGGUUUGAUGGAGAUAAUCGGUUUAUAACUGGCUGUUCCAAGGUCUCUCAUUCUCUGCACAUUGUCCAGUUGUGGCUCUCUGAAUUUGUUCCCAUAAACUCCAGGAGGAAGCUUCUUUGAAGAUGGCUGAGGAAGACACUGAUCUCUGGGUAUGUUGCUACGAGUCAUUAUAUUGCUAUAUUUCUUUAGCAGAACAACAGUGUUUGGUUUUCCCGCAGGUCCGUGGCCUAUCUAGUCCCAGGUUCUUGACCUCCUGAGCAGUGUCAGAUCCAGAUGUAGAACUUUCAAGCUACUUCUCCAGCCCCAUGUCUGCCUGCAAGCUGCCAUGCUUCCUGCCAAGAUGACAACGGACUAAACCUCUGACAUUGCAUUCAUCCUAAAGAACCAUUGGUCUGAUCUGAAGAAGUCCCUGCUCUCUGCUACACCCUCGAUGCCGGGCCCAGUGUCUCUUCCUGGACAUCCUGUUGCUGCUCUGUGUCAUGGAGAUCCUGCAGCCCUGGACCUGCAGGACCUGCUCCCCAUGCUCCAGCAGAUCACAGAUGGGGUGGAUGUUGGGGUGGGCUAUCACAUAACCCUGGUCCUGGGCUGGGGUAGUUUCAGGGUUGGUCAGCCUGCCAGCUCUCCCCUGUCUUCACCACCAGGCUGAGCUCUCCAGCAUUGCCCUGGCUAGUUCACCUCUUGGAGCAAUGUACAAGAUGUGCAAGGGGCGGGGCCAGUUCUUCUGCUUUCUCACCCUCAGGGUUGGGUGUACCUACACCUUCAGGGCCAGCUCUACUGUGUUGCCCAGGCAAGGUGCAGGGGCCACUCUUCUGAGUGCUGAUAAGGGGCAGGGACAGUUCUCUUGCUCUUGUGACCUCAGGGCCAGCUCUUCUACCUGCCUCAGGUGAUGAUGGGUUGGGGGGAUUCUCUCCCCUAUCGGUGCUACCACAUGACAGAUGAGUAAUGGGGUCAGCUCUCCCAGGCUCACAACAUUGGGUUGGCUCACCCACACCUCCAUCAAAAGGGUCAGCUUUACUGUGCUGCCUAGGCGAGGUGCAGGGUCUACUUUCCAGAGUCCUACACCUGUAAGGCGGAGGGUCAGCUUGCUCAUCUGUGGCAUGUGAUGAGGGGCGAAGUGUAAGGGGGGCAUCUCUCCCUCACCCACAUAGCUGUAUUACAGACAAGUAGUGGGGACAGCUCUUCCAUGCUCACAACUCCCGGGCUGGCUCACCCACACGUCAGCCAAUAGGGUUGGCUCUAUUGUGCUGCCGAGGCAAGGUGCAGGACCUGCUCUUCAGAGUGUUGCAGCUGGUUGGGGGCAGGGACAGCUCUCCUGCUCUUAUGACAUCAGGGUCAGCUCUCCCACCUGCCUGAGGCAUUGAUGGGGGGGCAUCUCCCUCCCCCAUGCCACCAUAUGGCAGAUGAGGGGUGGAACUAGGUCUCCCAUGCUCAUGUUCUCAGGGUUGGCUCCCCUGUGCUCUCGUCAAUAGGGUCAGCUCUGUUGUGCUGUCCAGAUGAGGUGCGAGGCCCGCUUGCCCAAGUGUUGCAGCUGAUAAAUGGGUCAGCUCCCUCACCAGCUGAGGACAGUAGGGGCAAGAGGAGGAGGACAUCUUUCCUUCAUCUCCACCACUGCACGGAAGAUGAGAGAGGCCAUGGCAGUUAUGCCCCUCUCACGCCGUUAGGGCUGGCUCACCUGUGCCUCUGUCUACAGGGUCAACUGUACUGUGCUGCCCAGAUGAUGAGCAGGAUCUCUUCUCCUGAGUGCUGCAGCUGCUGGUGAGGGGUUGGGUCAGGUCCCCCAUCUACUGCAGGUGUUG